rnacentral:rRNA from 1 species
UGGCGAACGGGUGAGUAACACGUGGGUGAUCUGCCUUGCACUUCGGGAUAAGCUUGGGAAACUGGGUCUAAUACCGGAUAGGACAGCUGUUUAGUGUCAGUUGUGGAAAGUUUUUUCGGUGCAAGAUGAGCUCGCGGCCUAUCAGCUUGUUGGUGGGGUAAUGGCCUACCAAGGCGUCGACGGGUAGCCGGCCUGAGAAGGUGGACGGCCACAUUGGGACUGAGAUACGGCCCAG